GUGGUUGUUUUGAUACCACACAUACUAAAAUUGGAGUAGUACACAGAUUAACCUGACCCUUUUGUAAGGAUGAUAUGCAAAUUUAUAGAGUAUUUGAAAUAAAAU
ensembl:snRNA U6 U6 spliceosomal RNA